UAGCUUAGUGGUUAAGGCUAUGAAUCGCAAAUUCGGAGACGGCGGGUUCGAUUCCCGU
rfam:Aedes albopictus isolate Foshan contig71452, whole genome shotgun sequence.